rnacentral:rRNA from 1 species
UUGAUCCCUGGCUCAGGACGAACGCUGGCGGCAUGCCUAAUACAUGCAAGUCGAGCGGCGUAAGAAUGGAAGCUUGCUUCCAUUCUUACUUAGCGGCGGACGGGUGAGUAACACGUAGGCAACCUGCCCUCAAGACUGGGAUAACUACCGGAAACGGUAGCUAAUACCGGAUAAUUUCUUUCCUCUCCUGAAGAGAGAAUGAAAGGCGGAGCAAUCUGCCACUUGGGGAUGGGCCUGCGGCGCAUUAGCUAGUUGGUGGGGUAACGGCUCACCAAGGCGACGAUGCGUAGCCGACCUGAGAGGGUGAACGGCCACACUGGGACUGAGACACGGCCCAGACUCCUACGGGAGGCAGCAGUAGGGAAUCUUCCGCAAUGGGCGAAAGCCUGACGGAGCAAUGCCGCGUGAGUGAUGAAGGUUUUCGGAUCGUAAAGCUCUGUUGCCAGGGAAGAACGUCCGGUAGAGUAACUGCUACCGGAGUGACGGUACCUGAGAAGAAAGCCC